GAUGAAGAACGCAGCGAAAUGCGAUACGUAAUGUGAAUUGCAAAUUCAGUGAAUCAUCGAGUCUUUGAACGCACAUUGCGCCCCCUGGUAUUCCGGGGUGCAUGCCUGUCCGAGCGUCAUUGCUGCCCUCAAGCACGGCUGGUGUGUUGGGCCCCGUCCUCCGAUCCCGGGGGACGGGCCCGAAAGGCAGCGGCGGCACCGCGUCCGGUCCUCGAGCGUAUGGGGCUUUGUCACCCGCUCUGUAGGCCCGGCCGGCGCUUGCCGAUCAACCCAAAUUUUUAUCCAGGUUGACCUCGGAUCAGGUAGGGAUACCCGCUGAACUUAAGCAUAUCAAUAAGCGGAGGA
rnacentral:misc_RNA from 1 species